rnacentral:rRNA from 1 species
GACGAACGCUGGCGGCGUGCCUAAUACAUGCAAGUAGAACGCUGAAGGAGGAGCUUGCUCUUCUGGAUGAGUUGCGAACGGGUGAGUAACGCGUAGGUAACCUGCCUGGUAGCGGGGGAUAACUAUUGGAAACGAUAGCUAAUACCGCAUAACAGUAGAUGUUGCAUUACAUUUACUUAAAAGGUGCAAUUGCAUCACUACCAGAUGGACCUGCGUUGUAUUAGCUAGUUGGUGGGGUAACGGCUCACCAAGGCGACGAUACAUAGCCGACCUGAGAGGGUGAUCGGCCACACUGGGACUGAGACACGGCCCAGACUCCUACGGGAGGCAGCAGUAGGGAAUCUUCGGCAAUGGACGGAAGUCUGACCGAGCAACGCCGCGUGAGUGAAGAAGGUUUUCGGAUCGUAAAGCUCUGUUGUAAGAGAAGAACGAGUGUGAGAGUGGAAAGUUCACACUGUGACGGUAUCUUACCAGAAAGGGACGGCUAACUACGU